UGGGGAAUUUUGGACAAUGGGCGAAAGCCUGAUCCAGCAAUGCCGCGUGUGUGAAGAAGGCCUUCGGGUUGUAAAGCACUUUUGUCCGGAAAGAAAUCCUUGGCUCUAAUACAGUCGGGGGAUGACGGUACCGGAAGAAUAAGCACCGGCUAACUACGUGCCAGCAGCCGCGGUAAUACGUAGGGUGCAAGCGUUAAUCGGAAUUACUGGGCGUAAAGCGUGCGCAGGCGGUUUGCUAAGACCGAUGUGAAAUCCCCGGGCUCAACCUGGGAACUGCAUUGGUGACUGGCAGGCUAGAGUAUGGCAGAGGGGGGUAGAAUUCCACGUGUAGCAGUGAAAUGCGUAGAGAUGUGGAGGAAUACCGAUGGCGAAGGCAGCCCCCUGGGCCAAUACUGACGCUCAUGCACGAAAGCGUGGGGAGCAAACAGGAUUAGAUACCCUGGUAGUCCACGCCCUAAACGAUGUCAACUAGUUGUUGGGGAUUCAUUUCCUUAGUAACGCAGCUAACGCGUGAAGUUGACCGCCUGGGGAGUACGGUCGCAAGAUUAAAA
rnacentral:rRNA from 1 species